UACGAAGGGGGCGAGCGUUGCUCGGAAUCACUGGGCGUAAAGCGCACGUAGGCGGCUUGUUAAGUCAGGGGUGAAAUCCUGGAGCUCAACUCCAGAACUGCCUUUGAUACUGGCAAGCUUGGAGUCCGGGAGAGGUGAGUGGAACUGCGAGUGUAGAGGUGAAAUUCGUAGAUAUUCGCAAGAACACCAGUGGCGAAGGCGGCUCACUGGCCCGGUACUGACGCUGAGGUGCGAAAGCGUGGGGAGCAAACAGG
rnacentral:rRNA from 1 species